rnacentral:rRNA from 1 species
GGAUACGAGCUGCGAAGGCAUCUUCAGCAGCUGGAAAGAACUUCGGUCAGGGAUGAGCUCGCGGCCUAUCAGCUAGUUGGUGAGGUAAUGGCUCACCAAGGCGUCGACGGGUAGCCGGCCUGAGAGGGUGACCGGCCACACUGGGACUGAGACACGGCCCAGACUCCUACGGGAGGCAGCAGUGGGGAAUAUUGCACAAUGGGCGAAAGCCUGAUGCAGCAACGCCGCGUGAGGGACGACGGCCUUCGGGUUGUAAACCUCUUUUAGCAAGGAAGAAGCGAAAGUGACGGUACUUGCAGAAAAAGCACCGGCUAACUACGUGCCAGCAGCCGCGGUAAUACGUAGGGUGCAAGCGUUAUCCGGAAUUAUUGGGCGUAAAGAGCUCGUAGGCGGUUUGUCGCGUCUGCUGUGAAAUCUGGGGGCUCAACCCCCAGCCUGCAGUGGGUACGGGCAGACUAGAGUGCGGUAGGGGAGAUUGGAAUUCCUGGUGUAGCGGUGGAAUGCGCAGAUAUCAGGAGGAACACCGAUGGCGAAGGCAGAUCUCUGGGCCGUAACUGAC